CGAUCUCGUGCGUGAUGAAUUUGUGAACAGGAGCAAGGUGAAAAAUCCAUUCACGUGCGUGACAAGGAAGGCUAAAAUACAAAACACGUAGCCGAAGAGUCAUAUGGAUCCCGGGUCGACAAGUUAAUCGUCCUCGUUUCAGCGGACCUUGUCAAUCAUCAAUGCGCACACGUUUUUUUAUCUACUACGGCAACAAUUCACGGAUAUCUUGAACACUACAAGGAGAGGCACUUGAAGAUCUCAAAAAGCAACAAAUAUUUCGUUCACAC